rnacentral:rRNA from 1 species
AUUGAACGCUGGCGGCAGGCCUAACACAUGCAAGUCGAGCGAGCGGCGGGCGGGUGAGUAAUGUCGGGGAAACUGCCUGAUGGAGGGGGAUAACUACUGGAAACGGUAGCUAAAACCGCAUACCAUAAGAUGUGCCCAGAUGUGAUUAGCGGGUAGGGGGGGUAACGGCGCACAGAGGAGAAGAUCCCUAGCUGGUCUGAGAGGAUGACCAGCCACCGGGGAACGGAGACACGGGCCAGACUCCGACGGGAGGAAGCAGUGGGGAAUAUUGCACAAGGGGCGCAAGCCUGAUGCAGCAAUGCCGCGUGUGUGAAGAAGGCCUUCGGGUUGUAAAGCACUUUCAGCGGGGAGGCGUUACCCGCAGAAGAAGCACCGGCUAACUCCGUGCCAGCAGCCGCGGUAAUAC